rnacentral:tRNA from 1 species
GUGAUUGUAGCUCAGUUGGUUAGAGCGCUGGUUUGUGGCACCAGAGGUCGCGGGUUCGAGUCCCGUCUCUCACCCCA